rnacentral:rRNA from 1 species
CUACGGGUCGCAGCAGUGGGGAAUAUUGGACAAUGGGGGCAACCCUGAUCCAGCCAUGCCGCGUGUGUGAAGAAGGCCUUUUGGUUGUAAAGCACUUUAAGCGAGGAGGAGGCUACUGGUACUAAUAUUACCAGCUAGUGGACGUUACUCGCAGAAUAAGCACCGGCUAACUCUGUGCCAGCAGCCGCGGUAAUACAGAGGGUGCGAGCGUUAAUCGGAAUUACUGGGCGUAAAGCGCGCGUAGGCGGUUUGUUAAGUCGGAUGUGAAAUCCCCGGGCUCAACCUGGGAAUUGCAUUCGAUACUGGCAAGCUAGAGUAUGGGAGAGGAAGGUAGAAUUCCAGGUGUAGCGGUGAAAUGCGUAGAGAUCUGGAGGAAUACCGAUGGCGAAGGCAGCCUUCUGGCCUAAUACUGACGCUGAGGUGCGAAAGCAUGGGGAGCAAACAGGAUUAGAUACCCCGGUAGUC